rnacentral:rRNA from 1 species
GCGAUACAGGGUGACAGCCCCGUACACAAAAAUGCACAUACUGUGAGCUCGAUGAGUAGGGCGGGACACGUGGUAUCCUGUCUGAAUAUGGGGGGACCAUCCUCCAAGGCUAAAUACUCCUGACUGACCGAUAGUGAACCAGUACCGUGAGGGAAAGGCGAAAAGAACCCCGGCGAGGGGAGUGAAAAAGAACCUGAAACCGUGUACGUACAAGCAGUGGGAGCACGCUUAGGCGUGUGACUGCGUACCUUUUGUAUAAUGGGUCAGCGACUUAUAUUCUGUAGCAAGGUUAACCGAAUAGGGGAGCCGAAGGGAAACCGAGUCUUAACUGGGCGUUAAGUUGCAGGGUAUAGACCCGAAACCCGGUGAUCUAGCCAUGGGCAGGUUGAAGGUUGGGUAACACUAACUGGAGGACCGAACCGACUAAUGUUGAAAAAUUAGCGGAUGACUUGUGGCUGGGGGUGAAAGGCCAAUCAAACCGGGAGAUAGCUGGUUCUCCCCGAAAGCUAUUUAGGUAGCGCCUCGUGAAUUCAUCUCCGGGGGUAGAGCACUGUUUCGGCAAGGGGGUCAUCCCGACUUACCAACCCGAUGCAAACUGCGAAUACCGGAGAAUGUUAUCACGGGAGACACACGGCGGGUGCUAACGUCCGUCGUGAAGAGGGAAACAACCCAGACCGCCAGCUAAGGUCCCAAAGUCAUGGUUAAGUGGGAAACGAUGUGGGAAGGCCCAGACAGCCAGGAUGUUGGCUUAGAAGCAGCCAUCAUUUAAAGAAAGCGUAAUAGCUCACUGGUCGAGUCGGCCUGCGCGGAAGAUGUAACGGGGCUAAACCAUGCACCGAAGCUGCGGCAGCGACGCUUAUGCGUUGUUGGGUAGGGGAGCGUUCUGUAAGCCUGCGAAGGUGUGCUGUGAGGCAUGCUGGAGGUAUCAGAAGUGCGAAUGCUGACAUAAGUAACGAUAAAGCGGGUGAAAAGCCCGCUCGCCGGAAGACCAAGGGUUCCUGUCCAACGUUAAUCGGGGCAGGGUGAGUCGACCCCUAAGGCGAGGCCGAAAGGCGUAGUCGAUGGGAAACAGGUUAAUAUUCCUGUACUUGGUGUUACUGCGAAGGGGGGACGGAGAAGGCUAUGUUGGCCGGGCGACGGUUGUCCCGGUUUAAGCGUGUAGGCUGGUUUUCCAGGCAAAUCCGGAAAAUCAAGGCUGAGGCGUGAUGACGAGGCACUACGGUGCUGAAGCAACAAAUGCCCUGCUUCCAGGAAAAGCCUCUAAGCAUCAGGUAACAUCAAAUCGUACCCCAAACCGACACAGGUGGUCAGGUAGAGAAUACCAAGGCGCUUGAGAGAACUCGGGUGAAGGAACUAGGCAAAAUGGUGCCGUAACUUCGGGAGAAGG